rnacentral:ncRNA from 2 species
ACAGGAGUAGGGUAAUACGCGUUAAGUGCCAUUGGAACGGAAUGUGAACUUUGGACGAAGAGCUUUUCUCGCGAUGUUUUACCCGCAUUCGCCCUU